GCUCCUCCCCCAAGCACAGAAGGCUGCAGCCUGACUGAGGGUCAUUCAUUAUCACAGGCAACAGCUGGGAUAUGGACCUCCCUGAAACUCGUCCACUCCUCAUGCAAAACAGCUUAUAGUCAAGCAUGGAUAAUGGAGCUCUUGCUGGAAGAUCAGUUGGUUCCCGAAUCUGUGGUCUACUCGUUGAUGGGAUGGUCGGCUUGAUUUACACUUCUGAAAGUGAUAGUGUUGGCUGACAGUCAGAUGUGAAACCUGGGUUUUCUAACUAGAAUCUUGAAAGACCUUGGGAUGGUGCCAUCAGGACAGCCUUCAAUCAACUCUCAGAAUCUAAUGGAAAAACCAUCAUACAAUCCCAGUGUCUGAAGCUAAAACUAGCUGUAAUGAGAACAUGAUAUCAAAACAUCACCAUAAGCACAUGUUGGAUGGUUGCCUCCUGAAACAACCUCUGUAUUCCAAGUUCAGCCGAGGCCAAAGAAAUUGCAGAGGUCAAAGGAAACAUUGUGAGGACACCAUCAAAGCAAGUCCGAAGAAAUUUGGGAUUGACACUGAAAGUUUGGGAAGGUCACACGUUAAGAAGUUUAAAAGACAUAGGAGCAGAAUUUGGCCCAUUGAGUCUGCUCUGCCAUUCGAUCAUGGCUGAUUAAUUUUUCCUUCGCAACCCAAGUGGCCUGUCUUUCCCCUGUAACCAUUGAUGCCCUUACUAAUGACGAACCUAGCAGCCACUCUAUAAAGCAGUGAGGAAACCAUUUUGGUGGUAUUGUUGUUAUGAGGAAUCCUUUUCACCUUGAGCCACUUUGCCUCUCAAACAGAAAGUAAAUAAGGAAAGAGGAAAUAAAGGGAAAAGGAACGAGAACCAAUAUGGCCAACGUUUUCCCUUCACCAAUAUGUGCUUAUGAUGUUAUUACCUGAAGGAGUGGGGUCAGAAGCUACCACAAGACUAAAAUCUCCCCAGACUCGAGAUACGGCCAACAUGAGAGAACAUGCAAAUUUGGCCAAGAAGAAUACUCACAUUGUGCAUGUACAUUACUCACUGUAAGUUAACAACAAUGAAUUCAGUAUAAAGUGUAGUACAUUUAUAUGUACUUGGGGACCACAAAUAAACUGUGAAUUUAUAUCAGCGGUUCAGUGACUGAAUAUCAAGUCAAUGAGAUUAUGAAAAGGAUUAUAAAUGGUUUGGGACAGGGUAACAUCCUGUUUCAAUACUUUCACAUUUCUGAACUUGCCACCUGGACCAUAACCUCGUGCUUGAAAGCUGUCAUUUUGCAGGAAAUGUCUUGAAAAUAGUGAAGAACCAGAUUUAAAAGUGAAUUAAACAAAAAUGCUUCAACCAACAUCACCUCUAGGUAAAGGGAGAUUACAGUGAGAAAGUUAUUUAUUGGUUCAUCUAACUAUGAUAUAUUUAUGUAUAAUGUUAUACCAUUGCAUAAUUUGAUAUGUAAAUUAGCAGGAUAUAUACAUACAUUUUAUAUAUUACACCAGUACAUUCUAUUGUUGCAUACAUAUCUGUGUUGUUUCUAAUUAUUCCACAUCAGAUGACUGAAUGGGUAAAUGUAUACACCUAUCUAUUCAGAGCGCAAAGUUGCUCAAAGUGCUUGGGGGAUUUAUUGUUCUUCAUCCAGCCCGACUAACAAGCAGAAUUAAGCUGUUUAACCAGAAGAAUUUUGGGAUGUGGGAAGAAAAUAAAUGGAGCAUCCCAGAGGAAACCCACAGGGUCACGGGGAGAAUGAUCAAAUACCACAGAGGUCGCGGUUGAACCUGAACCACUGGAGACACGAGGCAGCAUUGCUACUCAUUGCCCCAGUGUGCUGUCUAUUUUAAGAUUUGAAAGCCAUUCAACUGUUACAGUAUGUUAGAACAGAAGAGAAGAUAUUCAACAGUCCAUUGAAUUGGAUUCAUCCACGACAAACGUUGUUCCCGGUAAAAUCUGCCUUCCUCUGAAGUGGUGGAGCUGUCCCACAUGCAAGUCAUCACCUAAAUUAUCUGUACUCGCAUCUGAUGUUCCCAGUUUUGUCCUAUUCAGGCAAUUGGUUCUUGUAGUGAUGCUACUUGAGCUAGCCAGGGGCGAAUGGGAAUAAUUCCCAGAGAUAGCACCCGGAGAAAAUCCAUACGAUCACGGGGAGAAUGUACGAACUCCGUACAGACAGCUCCCAUAGUCAGGAUUGAAUCUGGGUCUUUGGUGCUGUGACGCAGCAACUCUACCCCCCGUGGCACUGUGCUGCCCUGUUGUGCUUUGAUUUCUGGUGUGGGAUUUAAACCCAUAGUUGCCUGAAAUAGGCGACAAUGCUACACCAAUGGAUGCAUACAACAUUGAACAGUACAGUACAAGAACAUGUCCUUUAGCCCAAUUAAUCCAUUCUACCUGCACAUGAUCCAUAUCCCUCCAUUCCGUAUAUAUUUAUGUGCCUAUCUAAAGGCCCCUUAAAUGCCACCAUUAUAUCUGCUUCCACCACUACCCUUGGCAGCCCGUUCUAGACACCCACCACACUCUAUGUAAAAAAACGUGCCCUGAACAUUUCUGUUAAACUCUAUACAUCUCACCUUAAAGCUCUGCCAUCCAGUAUUUGAAAGUUACAACCUGCGUAACGGAUUCUGACUGUCUAUGCCCUAUCUAUGCCUCUCAUAGUUUUAUAAACC